CCCGGGUAGGGUGGGGGGGUGGUCCCGGGGGGGCUUACCAUGCAGUCGAGCGGGGGAAGGUAGCUUGCUACCGGACCUAGCGGCGGACGGGUGAGUAAUGCUUAGGAAUCUGCCUAUUAGUGGGGGACAACAUCUCGAAAGGGAUGCUAAUACCGCAUACGUCCUACGGGAGAAAGCAGGGGAUCUUCGGACCUUGCGCUAAUAGAUGAGCCUAAGUCGGAUUAGCUAGUUGGUGGGGUAAAGGCCUACCAAGGCGACGAUCUGUAGCGGGUCUGAGAGGAUGAUCCGCCACACUGGGACUGAGACACGGCCCAGACUCCUACGGGAGGCAGCAGUGGGGAAUAUUGGACAAUGGGGGGAACCCUGAUCCAGCCAUGCCGCGUGUGUGAAGAAGGCCUUAUGGUUGUAAAGCACUUUAAGCGAGGAGGAGGCUACUUUAGUUAAUACCUAGAGAUAGUGGACGUUACUCGCAGAAUAAGCACCGGCUAACUCUGUGCCAGCAGCCGCGGUAAUACAGAGGGUGCGAGCGUUAAUCGGAUUUACUGGGCGUAAAGCGUGCGUAGGCGGCUUAUUAAGUCGGAUGUGAAAUCCCCGAGCUUAACUUGGGAAUUGCAUUCGAUACUGGUGAGCUAGAGUAUGGGAGAGGAUGGUAGAAUUCCAGGUGUAGCGUAAAUGGGCGUAAAAAAA
rnacentral:rRNA from 1 species